rnacentral:rRNA from 1 species
UUGAACGCUGGCGGCAGGCCUAACACAUGCAAGUCGAACGGUAACAGAAAGAAGCUUGCUUCUUUGCUGACGAGUGGCGGACGGGUGAGUAAUGUCUGGGAAACUGCCUGAUGGAGGGGGAUAACUACUGGAAACGGUAGCUAAUACCGCAUAACGUCGCAAGACCAAAGAGGGGGACCUUCGGGCCUCUUGCCAUCGGAUGUGCCCAGAUGGGAUUAGCUUGUUGGUGGGGUAACGGCUCACCAAGGCGACGAUCCCUAGCUGGUCUGAGAGGAUGACCAGCCACACUGGAACUGAGACACGGUCCAGACUCCUACGGGAGGCAGCAGUGGGGAAUAUUGCACAAUGGGCGCAAGCCUGAUGCAGCCAUGCCGCGUGUAUGAAGAAGGCCUUCGGGUUGUAAAGUACUUUCAGCGGGGAGGAAGGGAGUAAAGUUAAUACCUUUGCUCAUUGACGUUACCCGCAGAAGAAGCACCGGCUAACUCCGUGCCAGCAGCCGCGGUAAUACGGAGGGUGCAAGCGUUAAUCGGAAUUACUGGGCGUAAAGCGCACGCAGGCGGUUUGUUAAGUCAGAUGUGAAAUCCCCGGGCUCAACCUGGGAACUGCAUCUGAUACUGGCAAGCUUGAGUCUCGUAGAGGGGGGUAGAAUUCCAGGUGUAGCGGUGAAAUGCGUUGAGAUCUGGAGGAAUACCGGUGGCGAAGGCGGCCCCCUGGACGAAGACUGACGCUCAGGUGCGAAAGCGUGGGGAGCAAACAGGAUUAGAUACCCUGGUAGUCCACGCCGUAAACGAUGUCGACUUGGAGGUUGUGCCCUUGAGGCGUGGCUUCCGGAGCUAACGCGUUAAGUCGACCGCCUGGGGAGUACGGCCGCAAGGUUAAAACUCAAAUGAAUUGACGGGGGCCCGCACAAGCGGUGGAGCAUGUGGUUUAAUUCGAUGCAACGCGAAGAACCUUACCUGGUCUUGACAUCCACAGAACUUUCCAGAGAUGGAUUGGUGCCUUCGGGAACUGUGAGACAGGUGCUGCAUGGCUGUCGUCAGCUCGUGUUGUGAAAUGUUGGGUUAAGUCCCGCAACGAGCGCAACCCUUAUCCUUUGUUGCCAGCGGUCCGGCCGGGAACUCAAAGGAGACUGCCAGUGAUAAACUGGAGGAAGGUGGGGAUGACGUCAAGUCAUCAUGGCCCUUACGACCAGGGCUACACACGUGCUACAAUGGCGCAUACAAAGAGAAGCGACCUCGCGAGAGCAAGCGGACCUCAUAAAGUGCGUCGUAGUCCGGAUUGGAGUCUGCAACUCGACUCCAUGAAGUCGGAAUCGCUAGUAAUCGUGGAUCAGAAUGCCACGGUGAAUACGUUCCCGGGCCUUGUACACACCGCCCGUCACACCAUGGGAGUGGGUUGCAAAAGAAGUAGGUAGCUUAACCUUCGGGAGGGCGCUUACCACUUUGUGAUUCAUGACUGGGGUG